rnacentral:misc_RNA from 1 species
GAUGAAGAACGCAGCGAAAUGCGAUAAGUAAUGUGAAUUGCAGAAUUCAGUGAAUCAUCGAAUCUUUGAACGCACAUUGCGCCCGCCAGUAUUCUGGCGGGCAUGCCUGUUCGAGCGUCAUUUCAACCAUCAAGCCCCAGGCUUGUGUUGGGGACCUGCGGCUGCCGCAGGCCCUGAAAACCAGUGGCGGGCUCGCUGUCACACCGGGCGUAGUAGAUUUUAUCUCGCGCAGGGCGUGCUGCGGGUUCCGGCCGUUAAAAAGCCUUUUUUACCCAAGGUUGACCUCGGAUCAGGUAGGAAGACCCGCUGAACUUAAGCAUAUCAAUAAGCGGAGGA